rnacentral:rRNA from 1 species
AUGUCCAACUCCAGCACCUGCAAUUGCUCCUCCUUGCACGCCACACUUUUCUUCUGGGACGCCUUGGACACAAGAGACCACCUGCUGGAAUUCGGCACGGCAAUUUGCUUCGACAGGAGUUCCAAAGAGGAUUCAAGCAUUGUUACAGCGACGUCCCUAGCGUCAGCCAACAGACUGACCACUCUGCAGCUCUCGACAUCAGCCGGAGAAGACUUUCUGCUCAUCUUCUUGAACUGCUUUUGCGCUUUCUUGGCCAGGCGGAACCAAGACUGGAUCUUGGCCUGA